AUUGAACGCUGGCGGCAUGCUUUACACAUGCAAGUCGAACGGCAGCGGGGGCUUCGGCCUGCCGGCGAGUGGCGAACGGGUGAGUAAUGCAUCGGAACGUGCCCAUGUCGUGGGGGAUAACGUAGCGAAAGCUACGCUAAUACCGCAUACGUCCUGAGGGAGAAAGCGGGGGAUCUUUGGACCUCGCGCGAUUGGAGCGGCCGAUGUCGGAUUAGCUAGUAGGUGAGGUAAAGGCUCACCUAGGCGACGAUCCGUAGCGGGUCUGAGAGGAUGAUCCGCCACACUGGGACUGAGACACGGCCCAGACUCCUACGGGAGGCAGCAGUGGGGAAUUUUGGACAAUGGGGGCAACCCUGAUCCAGCCAUGCCGCGUGAGUGAAGAAGGCCUCGG
rnacentral:rRNA from 1 species